UACGUAGGGUGCAAGCGUUGUCCGGAAUUAUUGGGCGUAAAGAGCUCGUAGGCGGUCUGUUGCGUCGGCUGUGAAAACCCGGGGCUCAACUCCGGGCCUGCAGCCGAUACGGGCAGACUAGAGUUCGGCAGGGGAGACUGGAAUUCCUGGUUUAGCGGUGAAAUGCGCAGAUAUCAGGAGGAACACCGGUGGCGAAGGCGGGUCUCUGGGCCGAUACUGACGCUGAGGAGCGAAAGCGUGGGGAGCAAACAGG
rnacentral:rRNA from 1 species